rnacentral:rRNA from 1 species
UAAGGAAUAUUGGUCAAUGGACGCAAGUCUGAACCAGCCAUGCCGCGUGGAGGAUGAAGGCCCUCUGGGUUGUAAACUUCUUUUAUGGGGGACGAAACCCUGGAUUUUUAUCCAGCCUGACGGUACCCCAGGAAUAAGCACCGGCUAACUCCGUGCCAGCAGCCGCGGUAAUACGGAGGGUGCAAGCGUUAUCCGGAUUCACUGGGUUUAAAGGGUGCGUAGGCGGGUGUGUAAGUCAGUGGUGAAAUCUCCAAGCUUAACUUGGAAACUGCCGUUGAUACUAUACAUCUUGAAUGCCCGGGAGGUGAGCGGAAUAUGUCAUGUAGCGGUGAAAUGCUUAGAUAUGACAUAGAACACCGAUUGCGAAGGCAGCUCACUACAGGGGUUAUUGACGCUGAGGCACGAAAGCGUGGGGAUCAAACA